rnacentral:rRNA from 1 species
GAUGAACGCUAGCGGCAGGCCUAACACAUGCAAGUCGAGGGGGAAGUUACUUUCGGGUGACUGAGACCGGCGUACGGGUGCGUAACGCGUAUACAAUCUGCCUUUCACUGGGGGAUAGCCCGAAGAAAUUUGGAUUAAUACCCCAUAGUAUAUAGGGACGGCAUCGUUUUUAUAUUAAAGCUUAGGUGGUGAAAGAUGAGUAUGCGUUCUAUUAGCUAGUUGGAGGGGUAACGGCUCCCCAAGGCGAUGAUAGAUAGGGGUUCUGAGAGGGAUGUCCCCCACACUGGUACUGAGAUACGGACCAGACUCCUACGGGAGGCAGCAGUGAGGAAUAUUGGACAAUGGUCGGAAGACUGAUCCAGCCAUGCCGCGUGCAGGAGGAAGGUCUUAUGGAUUGUAAACUGCUUUUGUAAGGGAAGAAUAAGGGCUACGCGUAGUUUGAUGACGGUACCUUACGAAUAAGCAUCGGCUAACUCCGUG